CAGAUGUGUGGUUCAAACCGGAAAUUUACCACAAUUGGUCGGCAUUAUCAGUAGAAAUAUUCAUACUUUUUGUUUUAAUGCCACAGGGGUCAACUUUGGGGCCCUUGCUAUUUUUAUUGUAUUUGCAGCCCUUUAGGUUCCAUUUGGUCCAAAAUGCUGCUGCUUGCCUCCUAACUGGAGCUCGCCUCAGGGGGGAUGGAGCCUUUUCUAAUGCCAGUCCCUCUCAUUGGAAUAAACUCCAUCUAAACGUUAGGCAACCCCCCUCUCUCUGUCCAUUAAAAAAAAAAAACGUAUCUUAAUACGCAGUUUAAUUCAAUGGCUUUUGAGUCAGCGUGA